rnacentral:rRNA from 1 species
UGGGGAAUAUUGCACAAUGGGCGCAAGCCCGAUGCAGCCAUGCCGCGUGUAUGAAGAAGGCCUUCGGGUUGUAAAGUACUUUCAGCGGGGAGGAAGGGAGUAAAGUUAAUACCUUUGCUCAUUGACGUUACCCGCAGAAGAAGCACCGGCUAACUCCGUGCCAGCAGCCGCGGUAAUACGGAGGGUGCAAGCGUUAAUCGGAAUUACUGGGCGUAAAGCGCACGCAGGCGGUUUGUUAAGUCAGAUGUGAAAUCCCCGGGCUCAACCUGGGAACUGCAUCUGAUACUGGCAAGCUUGAGUCUCGUAGAGGGGGGUAGAAUUCCAGGUGUAGCGGUGAAAUGCGUAGAGAUCUGGAGGAAUACCGGUGGCGAAGGCGGCCCCCUGGACGAAGACUGACGCUCAGGUGCGAAAGCGUGGGGAGCAAACAGG